rnacentral:tRNA from 2 species
GCUCCUAUGGUGUAGUUGGUUAGCACUGUGGUCUUUGAAACCACCAACAGAAGUUCGAAUCUUCUUGGGAGCU